CUUAGUGAUGACACAAAAGCUCCAUAGAAAACGUGUCAGCUUUUGACUCAAAUUUUGACGGUGCCCCUAUCAUCUCUCCGAAAACCAAAGCAACCCCAAACAAUUCCGAAAUCAUUUUUACGUGUCCCAAAAUACGUGAUGUUGCAGCAAAUGAAAUAUCAGACACAACUCUUACUCCAAAGGCUCCCGCCAGAAAUGUAUCAGAUUCCCCAAGCAUUUCUGAAACCAUAUUUAUGGCUGCAAAACAGAGUAUUGGAAAUUUGAAACCAGAAAAGCUAGGGCUUUGAUCAAGCCAAGCAUAAUGGCUAUUGACCUUUGAUCAAGCCAAGCAUAAUGGAUAAAUCAAUAGUCUGCAGUGUAGGUACCUGGAAGAUCUUCUCUUGCAAAUCAAGAGUUACCAACCUUGUGAAGUACAAAAUCUCAAUCGGAACCUUCCCUGUGAAGCCAGCAUUCAUCAAGUUCAGACUACUCAAACCAGUUAGCUGCCCAAACUCGGAUGGAAUCUGAGUGUAGUUGAAGUCAUUGUAAGCCAAAUUUAGGUCCUCGAUGUACUGCAGAUGGAAAAGAGCACUUGAUAUGUGCACCUAAAAUUGACUCGCUGCUUAAGUCAAGAUGAGAAACACAACCAUCUUUGCAGGAGACACCUUCCCAAGAACGGUAAUCUGAGCCAUUAUUCCACUGCACAAUUUUUUUAGAUUGUAUAGGGUCAAAUUCGAGGCUGUUGUUCAAUUGCAACAACAAUGAUUGUUGAUCGCUGGGAUGACAUUGCCUAGAGACCACAAAUGUAUGGAAGCUGAGUGAGGCGUAGGAAAUGAGCAUCAGAAAGCGGAGGAGUUUUCAUCGGAAGCUCUUACUGAUAUGGGACAGAAAACGUAGUACAGAGCUUAGGCUUAGGGUAUUAGGAAUAUCUUCAGCAGUUGUCACAAAUGAAAAAUCAACGGUACGUAGUCAUUUAUGCAUAGAGUUCUUUUUCAUUUUCGUAAUUUUACUUGUUCAUUGGCUACUAAUUCGCAUGCAUUAAUGUGUAUAGUUGGAUCGAGACUCUGAUAUUGUGGACAAAUGAGAUUGCAUUAAGGGAUUGACUUGUUUAUCAUUGUAUUCCUCUUUGAGAGGCUAAGGAAAACUUUGGUGAUGGUAAGUUAAUGGUGGGUUGAACUUUGUGGAGAAGGUUUCUACGAGACUUGUUGCUUCCUUGACUUGUUGACGUCGAAGAGAGGGUGACAUUUCGCCCCUACAACCGGGCUAAAACUUGCACGUACACCCCUCCUAACUCUCGCGUGAGGAGACAGACUGAUUCCGAUACACAGGAGAAUACACGUAUAGUGCAAGAAUUUUGUUUCUUAAAUAGUUUAGAUAGCAUUAUGUAAAGCUCUUCAACUCACUUCAUAGAUGCCAAAGGCUCACAGUAAUCUACAAAGAAGUGGAGAUUCAACAUGCUGCAAGUCACCGAAAAACGAAGAAAUUUCCCCGCUUAGCUAGUGUUGAUGCGGUGGCGACCUUACGUUGGUUGUAUCAAAGACUACCAAGUUUUCAUCCGGAAAAAUCAAAGCUAAAACAGAGUAAACGUUCAUGAUAACAAACAGAAGAAAACCGACAAGAGGAGAAACCACGAAAGAAAGAAAGCUAAGAACCAAAGCCAAACGAGUGAAAACAGAGUCAAAUGAAGCGUGAUU